rnacentral:rRNA from 1 species
UGGGGAGUAUUGCGCAAUGGGCGAAAGCCUGACGCAGCCACGCCGCGUGAGUGAAGAAGGCCUUCGGGUUGUAAAGCUCUGUCAAGCGGGACGAAAAGUUAUUAGGUUAAUAGCCUAGUAACCUGACGGUACCGCUGAAGGAAGCACCGGCUAACUCCGUGCCAGCAGCCGCGGUAAUACGGAGGGUGCAAGCGUUGCUCGGAAUUAUUGGGCGUAAAGGGUAGGUAGGUGGUCUCGUUUGUCUAAGGUGAAAGCCCCGGGCUUAACUCGGGAAGUGCCUUGGAAACGGCGAGACUGGAGUCCUGGAGAGGGUCGUGGAAUUCCCGGUGUAGCGGUGAAAUGCGUAGAGAUCGGGAGGAACAUCAGCGGCGAAAGCGGCGGCCUGGACAGGUACUGACAC